rnacentral:tRNA from 1 species
GCCCAUGUGGCUCAGUGGUAGAGCACUCCCUUGGUAAGGGAGAGGUCGGCAGUUCGAUCCUGCCCAUGGGCACCAG